ACGUAGGGGGCGAGCGUUGUCCGGAAUUACUGGGCGUAAAGAGCGUGUAGGCGGGUAGCCAAGUCAAAUGUGAAAGACCGCAGCUCAACUGCGGGAUUGCAUUUGAAACUGACUAUCUUGAGGGCAGGAGAGGACAGUGGAAUUCCUGGUGUAGCGGUGAAAUGCGUAGCAAUCAGGAGGAAUACCAGUGGCGAAGGCGACAGUCUGGACUGACCCUGACGCUGAGGCGCUAAAGCGUGGGGAGCAUACAG
rnacentral:rRNA from 1 species